GACGAACGCUGGCGGCGUGCUUAACACAUGCAAGUCGAACGCUGAACCCGCUUCGGUGGGGGAUGAGUGGCGAACGGGUGAGUAACACGUGGGCAACCUGCCCCCGGCUCUGGGAUAACUCCAAGAAAUUGGGGCUAAUACCGGAUGUGACCGCUGGCCGCAUGGUCUGGUGGUGGAAAGGGUUUCCGGCUGGGGAUGGGCCCGCGGCCUAUCAGCUUGUUGGUGGGGUAGUGGCCUACCAAGGCGACGACGGGUAGCCGGCCUGAGAGGGUGACCGGCCACACUGGGGCUGGGGCACGGCCCAGGCUCCUACGGGAGGCAGCAGUGGGGAAUAUUGCGCAAUGGGCGGAAGCCUGACGCAGCGACGCCGCGUGGGGGAUGACGGCCUUCGGGUUGUAAACCUCUUUCAGCAGGGACGAAGCGCAAGUGACGGUACCUGCAGAAGAAGCACCGGCCAACUACGUG
rnacentral:rRNA from 1 species